GACGAACCGUGCGAACGUUGUUCGGAAUCACUGGGUUUAAAGGGCGCGUAGGCGGGCUGUCAAGUCGGUGGUGAAAUCUUUCAGCUUAACUGGAAAAUGGCCUUCGAUACUGGCGGUCUGGAGGAAGGUAGGGGCAUGCGGAACUUCCGGUGGAGCGGUGAAAUGCGUAGAUAUCUGGAAGAACACCAAAGGCGAAGGCAGUGUCCUGGGUGGUCGCUGACGCUGAGAGGCGAAAGCCAGGGGAGCGAACGGG
rnacentral:rRNA from 1 species